rnacentral:rRNA from 1 species
AUGACUAGGGAUAACCUUAGGAAGAGACACAUCAUCAAACCCCUUGAUUGUGUUUACUGCUUAGAACAAGAGUCUUGUUCUCACCUAUUUUUUGAAUGUAUAGUUGCUAAACAUCUCUAGGCCCACAUUGAGGAAUAUUUCUCUAGUCAGAUUGGCUCAUCCUUCGAAUCUGUCGCCAGAUUCUGGUUUGCUACCAAAAAGUGCUCAGUUUUAAACACUCUUAGCUGAGCUGUCCUUUGGUGCCUCUGGAAAUAUAGAAAUUCUAUGAUUUUUAGUAACACCUCCUAGAUUUCCAUUCCGCGGGUCUUGAGGUUGAUCAGGAACAUGGUGAGGAACUGGGCGAUUCUCUCCUCCGGAUCGGACAAGGACAAGUUGACAAGCUUCGUGGAAACCCUAACGAGAUCCCUCUAG